rnacentral:rRNA from 1 species
GGGAUCCUACGGGAGGCAGCAGUGGGGAAUAUUGCACAAUGGGGGAAACCCUGAUGCAGCAACGCCGCGUGAGUGAAGAAGUAUUUCGGUAUGUAAAGCUCUAUCAGCAGGGAAGAAGAAAGACGGUACCUGACUAAGAAGCCCCGGCUAACUACGUGCCAGCAGCCGCGGUAAUACGUAGGGGGCAAGCGUUAUCCGGAUUUACUGGGUGUAAAGGGAGCGUAGCCGGCUGUGCAAGUCUGAAGUGACAGCCCGUGGCUCAACCGCGGACCUGCUUUGGAAAC